GACGAACGCUGGCGGCGUGCUUAACACAUGCAAGUCGAACGGAAAGGCCCUGCUUUUGUGGGGUGCUCGAGUGGCGAACGGGUGAGUAACACGUGAGUAACCUGCCCUUGACUUUGGGAUAACUUCAGGAAACUGGGGCUAAUACCGGAUAGGAGCUCCUGCUGCAUGGUGGGGGUUGGAAAGUUUCGGCGGUUGGGGAUGGACUCGCGGCUUAUCAGCUUGUUGGUGGGGUAGUGGCUUACCAAGGCUUUGACGGGUAGCCGGCCUGAGAGGGUGACCGGCCACAUUGGGACUGAGAUACGGCCCAGACUCCUACGGGAGGCAGCAGUGGGGAAUAUUGCACAAUGGGCGGAAGCCUGAUGCAGCAACGCCGCGUGCGGGAUGACGGCCUUCGGGUUGUAAACCGCUUUCGCCUGUAACGAAGCGUGAGUGACGGUAAUGGGUAAAGAAGUACCGGCUAACUACGUG
rnacentral:rRNA from 1 species